rnacentral:misc_RNA from 1 species
ACAAACUUGGUCAUUUAGAGGAAGUAAAAGUCGUAACAAGGUCUCCGUUGGUGAACCAGCGGAGGGAUCAUUACUGAGUUUACAAACUCCCAAACCCUAUGUGAACCUUAUACCAUACGUUGCUUCGGCGGGAACGCCCCGGCUCCCCGAGCCCGGAUCAGGCGCCCGCCGGGGAUCCACCAACUCUUGUUUUCUACAGUAUUCUCUGAGUGGCAAACGCAUAAUAAAUCAAAACUUUUAACAACGGAUCUCUUGGCUCUGGCAUCGAUGAAGAACGCAGC